CAUAUGAAAAAAAGUAAGCAGCAAGAGUUAAUAAUGUAUUAAAACUGAAGAGAUGACUACAUCUAUUGAAAGCCAGCCUGUUAGAGAGAGACACUAACAUGAGUCAUUACUGAUCAGAGAAGUAAAGGGAAAGGCACAGCAUGACAUAUCACAAGAAAGGAAUGGACAGUUCCUGUGUUUUGAGAAGGUUGUCCUUGAAAGCUGAUCUCCUGUUGAGGAACCAACUGUCCUUAGGGUAACUGCACUGGUCAUUCUGCCUACCUUCUUCCUAGACUUGAACUCAAUAAAUUCACCUGGUGGAGGACACAUCAGUGAAGAUAGCUUGAUGGAAGAGUUAAAAGUUAAGGACAAGCUGGUUUUGUGUUCAGAAAAGCAAAAGAGAAGGAAGAAAAUCUUUUAUGCUUUCAUUUUCCAUUUUUCUCAAAUAGUUUCUAUGUAGAUUAUGAUUGAAGAAACACUAAAACAAAAUGGGUUUUGGCAUAAACUUUCCAGUAGCAUAUAUUUAUUAUAACCUAAUACAAAAUUAAUUCUAUGCAGAAAACCAAUGCUUUUGAUACUGGUAACUUUCAUAUGCUUCACAGGCAUUGUAGCCAGACCUUUCCUUUUUUUUUUUUUUUUCUUUUCUCUCUUCCUUCCUUCCUUCCUUCCUUCCUUCCUUCCUUCCUUCCUUCCUUCCUUCCUUCCUUCCUUCCUUCCUUCCUUCCUUCCUUCCUUCCUUCCUUCCUUCCUUCCUUCCUUUUUUUUUUUUUUUAUAUACUUCCCUGAAUUAACAAUUUUCAAUAAUAUAUCAUUUAGAAUAGAGGGUUGGUCAUAUAUACGAAUGGAAGGUGGUUUGUACUGGAAAGAAAAUUAAGUGCUGCUUACUUUGCUGGAAAUAACUGUAUCUGCCUCUUCUCCUCUGAAGCAGAUUUAUUAUCAUCAUUAUUCAUUCCUGUAUGUUGACUUAGGGAACACUUUCAUGUGGAAAUGUCACUUAUUUUCAGAUGCCACUAACUUAAAUUGCUUUACAAUUUCAUUAAAAGCCACUCUUGCUGCUGGCUGCUCAGUAGACAUCUCACUAUGCUCUGAUGUGCUCUUUACAGUCAAGUUGAGAGGCAGUUAACUUGUGCUUUACUGUUACCC
ensembl:lncRNA